UAGUAAGAGUUAGUCAGGUUAUCAGUGAUGGUGUUAUAGUGAAUGUCAGGACAGUGACCAACCUCAAGGUUACUAAAGGUCAAUUGAACUUCAGUGGUCGUACAGAAGAGACAUGUUGCUCCUCCUCCUGCCACCCCCGCCGGCUUUACCGCUUCCUCAUCCUUUUAAUACACCUAGAUAACGUGUGGUAAUUGUGGAGUGCUGUGCCUGGCUGUGUCUGCUGCAACAUUGAUCAACACAGCAACCUUGACCAGUCUGAGUGGAGACAACCACACUAAUAAAUGGCCUGACCCAUAGUGUAGUGGUAUAUGGAGAUGCAGUAGUUGGAGACGUCGUUAGAUGUGGGCGGGGCCCACUUGUAAGAAUUCUCCUGACUGACAAACAAGAACACUGGAGACGAGAGGUGAUCACGAUAGCCUGCAUUAGAAGACUGCAAACACUUCCACGUGCACAACAGUGAAGAUAGUGUUGUACAUAACUGCCCAGCUUCAACACUUUACA